AAGCGUCACCGUAGCACACGUAGCACACACGGGUGUGCCGCUCUGAGUGCAGUGCCGCGUCUGCUAAUCUCUCCCUCCUUAUCUCGCCUACCGCUCUGCCAAUGGGCAAGAAGAUGGCCACCGUUGCAGCGAAGAAGAAGGUGGUGCCGCAAGCCGCCGCCCCCGCAGCCAAGUCGCUCAAGAAGGCGAACGGCACUGCAGUGGUGGUCGCCGUAAAGAAGACCGCCAAGAAAUCCGCCAUGGCGCCAAAGGCUGCGCAAAGGGCACCGGUGGCUAAGGAAGAGGAGGAAGAGGAGGACUCGAGCUUCCACUACGAUGAUGCCGCCGUGAACAGCAGCCACUAUGACGGGGCGCCUGAUGACGAGGAUGGCGCUGGCGAGGAGGAAAACAUCGCGUUUGACGACGUCAUGGACGGCGACGAGGAGGACGAGGAAGACUUCGACGCGGAAAUCCAGGACGACGACGACUUCGAGGUCAAAGCUGAGAAGUACCGCCGCCGCAUGCUGGCGCAGCGCCAACUGGCCGAUGCGGAGCAGCAGGAGGAUAUUGUGACUCGGACAGCGAAGCCGACGCCUCUGCACGAUCGCGAGCAGCGGGACAAUGAGGCGCAGCAGGAAGAGGACGGCGCCGCAGCCGUCCAGCUGCUUGGCAAAACGAGCACUGCAGAGGAGCUGCGUGACCGAAUUCAAGAGACCGUUCGUGUGCUGUCCAACUUCAAGCAGGAGCGCGAAGAAGAUCGCGAACGUGGCGAGUAUCUCGAGCUUCUCCGCUCGGACCUCCUCGAGCUGUACGAGUACAGCGAAUUCCUCAUGGACUCGAUCCUGCAGUUGUUCCCCCCUGCCGAGGCGGUGGACUUUUUGGAGGCGAUGGAGAAGACAAGGCCAACGACCAUUCGCGUUAACACGCUGAAAGCGAAGCGCCGUGAUCUGGUGCAGGCGCUUGUGAAGCGCGGCAUGAACGUCGAGCCGCUGGAGAAGUGGUCCAAGGUUGGUCUGCAAGUGUUCGAGUCGAAUGUCCCCAUCGCUGGCACCAUCGAGUACCUCGCGGGUCACUACAUGCUGCAGGCCGCGGCCUCCUUCCUGCCAGUCAUGGCCCUCGCUCCGCAGGAGAAUGAGCGCGUGCUCGACAUGUCGGCCGCUCCGGGCGGAAAGACGACGUACAUUGCGCAGCUCAUGAAGAACACCGGCGUCCUCUUCGCGAAUGAUGUGAGUGAGCCACGGUGCAAGUCGCUCAACGCGAACUUACAGCGCCUCGGUGUCACCAACUGCAUCGUCACGAACUACGACGGCACUGGCUACGAGAGGGUGAUGCGCAACUUUGACCGCGUUCUGCUCGAUGCCCCCUGCUCCGGCACGGGCAUCAUCUCGCGUGACAAGAGCAUCAAGACAAGCAAACAGCACGAGGACAUUCAGCGUGCUUCACAGCUGCAGCGAGCGCUGCUGCUGAGCGCCAUCGACGCCUGCAAGAUUGGCGGUUACGUCGUCUACUCUACGUGUUCCUUCCUCGUGGAAGAGGAUGAGGCGAUUGUGGACUUCGCGCUGAGGCGCCGUGACGUGCAGGUGGUGGAGAUGGGGCUGCCAUUUGGGCGUCCUGGCUUCACCAAGUACCGCCACCACCGUUAUCAUGACAGCCUCGAGUUCUCCCGCCGCUACUUUCCGCACGUGCACAACAUGGACGGCUUCUUCAUCUGCAAGCUGAAGAAGUUGUCGGACAGCACCACGAAGCAGCAGGACGGGGCGGACAAAAAGCUGUCCAGGGCGGGGAGCGCCUCCGCCUCCUCGUCUAAGAAGCGUGGGCACGCCAGCGACGAUGUCGCGGAGCUCCAGGUCGGCUCGAAGCGGGUGCGACUCGAGAAGGGCAAGGCUGUCGUGUUGGCCGAAAAGGCGCCCGUCAAGAACCACAAGCUUAGCGUUCCACCGAGCUCCAAAACGACUCGCAGCGAACGGCAGCUGAAGGGCAAGCGCAAGCCGCACAAACCGCGUAAGUGAGCCCUAUAGCUGAAAGCGGGUAACGCUAUAAAGGUAGCGUUUUUCUUCCUAAUCUAAUAUCUGCUCGCCAUGCCUUCCCAUUCCACGGCAGCUGCUGAGGUGAAUCAAGCAGGCAGCCGGCAAUGGCAGCGUGUCACUGUAUGUGUGUGUGUGUAGCACGCCAACCGGGUAAUGGCGGCAAAGC
rnacentral:misc_RNA from 1 species